UUAAUUAAACACACGUUUUUGACUUUAUUUAUUUUUCUAGCAUCACCAGUCGAUUAUUCGAUCAAAAACAAUAAUUAGCCACGAGAUUAGCUACACUUACGACUGAAAAUACAAGUCAUGUAUUCAUUGAUGACAAAGCAGCAUCGCCAGUCGAUUGUUCUAUCAACAAUAAUUACGAAUUGUUAAGUUUAAUAAAGGGGCGGAAACUUUUUAUAGUUUUUAUUUAUAUUCAUUGAUGACAAAGCAGCGUCAACAGUCGAUUAUGCGAUCAACGACACAAUUAUUACAAAUUUUUAUUAAAUACAAAUUUUUACUUUUAAUAAGAGAGUCAAGGAACGUAUUUUAUUUUCAUUUAAAUUAAAUGCCAUUAUAACGUAUUUUGCCAGUUUCCACAAAAAAAGGCAGUGUGUUUUAUUUUCAUUAAAAAAAAUACCAUUAUUUACGUAUUUUGCCAGUUUCCACAAAAAAAGGCAAUGUUACUUUUUCUGACAAAAUGUUACUUUUUGAUCUGUCUCGUGUAACUUUUGACUAUCGGCCACUGGCAACACUGGUAAUCCCAUUAAGAAGUGGUGGAGAGCGAGAUCCUCCAUAGCGGCUGUUCUACCGGGAAUUUCUUUAAUUUUGGUUUGUGAUAAUGAUAUCUCGGU